rnacentral:rRNA from 1 species
CCUACGGGAGGCAGCAGUGAGGAAUAUUGGACAAUGGGGGCAACCCUGAUCCAGUAAUUCUGUGUGCACGAAGAAGGUUUUCGGAUUGUAAAGUGCUUUCAGCAGGGAAGAAGAAAGUGACGGUACCUGCAGAAGAAGCGACGGCUAAAUACGUGCCAGCAGCCGCGGUAAUACGUAUGUCGCAAGCGUUAUCCGGAAUUAUUGGGCAUAAAGGGCAUCUAGGCGGCCAGACAAGUCUGGGGUGAAAACUUGCGGCUCAACCGCAAGCCUGCCCUGGAAACUGUUUGGCUAGAGUGCUGGAGAGGUGGACGGAACUGCACGAGUAGAGGUGAAAUUCGUAGAUAUGUGCAGGAAUGCCGAUGAUGAAGAUAGUUCACUGGACGGCAACUGACGCUGAAGUGCGAAAGCUAGGGGAGCGAACAGGAUUAGAUACCCUGGUAGUCCUAGCUGUAAACGAUGAUUACUGGGUGUGGGCAUGAAGAGUGUCCGUGCCGAAGCAAAUGCGAUAAGUAAUCCGCCUGGGGAGUACGGCCGCAAGGCUGAAACUCAAAGGAAUUGACGG